rnacentral:lncRNA from 1 species
CCCGGCUAAUUUUUUUGUAUUUUCAGUAGAGACGAGGAUUCACCGUGUUAGCCAAGAUGGUCUCCAUCUCCUGACCUCGCUCGUGAUCCGCCUGCCUCGGCCUCCCAAAGUGCUGGGAGUACAGGCGUGAGCCACCGCGCUCGGCCGAGGUGAACAUAUAUUUCAUAUGGUCUCAAAACAAAGGAAUCAUAGGUUUGUAAAACAAAGCAAUAGUAAUUUGGUGAUAACACCUGGACACAAAGCGAUGCUUUACUCCAUCAUCCUGUCAUUCAACUACUUAUUUAUUGAGCACCUAUUAAACUAGGCAUGAUUGGAGGAGCAGCGAAAGGGACUUUAUUUAGAUACAGAUCUUGCUUUCAAGCAUGUUAAUGCUUAAGAUUCCUUUAACAGGAUGAAAUAAUAUGUGUACACCAAGAGGAAGAAUCCAAGGAUUAUUUCUUAGGAAGGGUGAGAGGGGAGUAUAUGUGAUUAACAGAACCGGGAUAGAAAAGUCAACUUUUAAGUCUGAGCCAGCCUUGAAGGAUAGAUGGGAUUUCAGAAUGUGUCUUCAGGGGGACAGGUCUUUUUUUGGAAGCAAUAACAGAGGCACAUUCAGAGGAGGCAGGAAGGGACAGAGUGUAUGCGGGGAGGGUGAGUGCUACACAAGAAAUGAAAGGCAGUUAAACAAUAAUAUUCACCAUAGUUGAUAUGAGCCGAGCAACGAACUUUCACAAAACAGUGCUUCUUAAAACGUCCUCUGGUGUGUACUAAUAGUCAACAGGAAUUUGGUAGUGUAACUAGAGAACAGUUGUGGGGUUUACAUUUCUUUAAAUCUGAAUCUUUAAAAAUAUUUUACAAAGUUUGCAUUUUAUUCUAUAAUACAAGUACAUUUGUUUUCAUACAAAAAUAUCUUAAAUUAUUUUCAGGAAAAUGCCACAGUUUUGUGUCAUGGGAGUGGCCCCCAUCCCUGGAUGUAUGUGACCUGAGUUUGAGAAGCAUGGACAUACAUUUGCUCACAUACUAAUAGCAGAAAAUAAGUACAGAAAAGAAGAUUAAUAUCAGAUUGUGGUUGGCCUUGAGUGUAUGUAGAAAAGGAAGGACAAUAUCUCAGGAAGGUGAGCUCCUGAGAGGGACUUUGUCCUAUAAUCCAUCCAUCCCUGGAAAAUACAUGAAAUAAGACUUGGAGAUAAAGGCUGAAUGCAACAGUAAGCCGGCAUCAGAUUUUGGUGUACCAUUUAAUUAAACCAGCUAUGAAACAAGAGUGGCCCUGGACAGUUUUGGCAACCCAAACAAACUGAAAGUCAGAUAGAGACUGCAGCAUUGCUUCUCUCUCUUCUCCAGUUAGCUUAUUAGGUCCCCCAAAAUCUAUAUGGAAAUUAAGUCAGGUGCAAAUAAGAAACCCAUUAACUCACGAAAACAACAAGAAACCAUACAAAUAAAUUACAGGAA